CCUACGGGAGGCAGCAGUGAGGAAUAUUGGUCAAUGGACGAGAGUCUGAACCAGCCAAGUAGCGUGAAGGAUGACUGCCCUAUGGGUUGUAAACUUCUUUUAUAUGGGAAUAAAAUGUUCCACGUGUGGGAUUUUGUCUGUACCAUAUGAAUAAGGAUCGGCUAACUCCGUGCCAGCAGCCGCGGUAAUACGGAGGAUCCGAGCGUUAUCCGGAUUUAUUGGGUUUAAAGGGAGCGUAGGUGGAUUGUUAAGUCAGUUGUGAAAGUUUGCGGCUCAACCGUAAAAUUGCAGUUGAAACUGGCAGUCUUGAGUACAGUAGAGGUGGGCGGAAUUCGUGGUGUAGCGGUGAAAUGCUUAGAUAUCACGAAGAACUCCGAUUGCGAAGGCAGUUCACUGGACUGCAACUGACACUGAGACUCGAAAGUGUGGGUAUCAAACAGGAUUAGAUACCCGGGUAGUC
rnacentral:rRNA from 1 species